rnacentral:rRNA from 1 species
GUGAACGCUGGCGGUAGGCCUAACACAUGCAAGUCGAACGGCAGCACCGUAAGAGCUUGCUCUUACGGGUGGCGGGUGGCGGACGGGUGAGGAAUACAUCGGAAUCUACUUUUUCGUGGGGGAUAACGUAGGGAAACUUACGCUAAUACCGCAUACGACCUACGGGUGAAAGCAGGGGAUCUUCGGACCUUGCGCGAUUGAAUGAGCCGAUGUCGGAUUAGCUAGUUGGCGGGGUAAAGGCCCACCAAGGCGACGAUCCGUAGCUGGUCUGAGAGGAUGAUCAGCCACACUGGAACUGAGACACGGUCCAGACUCCUACGGGAGGCAGCAGUGGGGAAUAUUGGACAAUGGGCGCAAGCCUGAUCCAGCCAUACCGCGUGGGUGAAGAAGGCCUUCGGGUUGUAAAGCCCUUUUGUUGGGAAAGAAAAGCAGCAGGUUAAUACCCCGCUGUUCUGACGGUACCCAAAGAAUAAGCACCGGCUAACUUCGUG